rnacentral:tRNA from 2 species
CAAGGUGUAGCGCAAUCUGGUAGCGCGUCUGCCUUGGGCGCAGGAAGUUACAGGUUCAAAUCCUGUCACCUUGA